GUGCUCGCUUCAGCCGCACACAUACAAAAACUGCAACAAUACGGAGACGAUGAGCACGGCCCCUGCACAAGGAUGACACGCAGAUGCGUGAAGUGUUCCAUAUUUUU